rnacentral:rRNA from 1 species
CCUACGGGUGGCAGCAGUAGGGAAUAUUGCUCAAUGGGGGAAACCCUGAAGCAGCAACGCCGCGUGGAGGAUGAAGGUGGGAGGAGUGUAAACGCCUUGUGGUAGAGAAGAGUAUGACGGUAUCUAAGGAAUAAGGAGCGGCUAACUCCGUGCCAGCACCCGCGUUAAUCUGGAAGGUGCCAGCGUUACUCGGACUCACUGGGCGUUAAGAGUGCGUAGGCGGGGUAAUAAGUCAGAUGUGAAAUCCUGUAGCUUAACUACAGAACUGCAUUUGAAACUGUUACUCUGGAGUGUGGGAGAGGUAGGUGGAAUUCUUGGUGUAGGGGUAAAAUCCGUAGAGAUCACGAGGAAUACUCAUUGCGAAGGCGACCUGCUGGAACAUUACUGACGCUGAUGCACGAAAGCGUGGGGAGCAAACAGGAUUAGAUACCCUUGUAGUC